rnacentral:rRNA from 1 species
AGAGUUUGAUCCUGGCUCAGAACGAACGCUGGCGGCGUGCCUGAGACAUGCAAGUCGUGGGAGAAAGUCGUAGCAAUACGGCUAGUAAACCGGCGUACGGGUGAGUAACACGUGGACAACCUGCCUCAGAGUCUGGGAUAACCCGUCGAAAGACGAGCUAAUACCGGAUAAGACCACGGGAAGUUCGCUUCCUGAGGUAAAAGAUGGCCUCUGCUCCUGCAAGCUAUCACUCUAAGAGGGGUCCGCGUCCUAUCAGCUAGUUGGCGAGGUAACGGCUCACCAAGGCUAAGACGGGUAGCUGGUCUGAGAGGAUGGUCAGCCACACUGGGACUGAGACACGGCCCAGAGUCCUACGGGAUGCAGCAGUCAGGAAUAUUGCGCAAUGGAGGAAACUCUGACGCAGCGACGCCGCGUGGGUGAUGAAGGCCUUCGGGUCGUAAAGCCCUGUCGGAGGGGAAGAAAAGUUUGCUGGCUAAUAUCCAGCAGACCUUUGACGGUACCCUCAAAGGAAGCACCGGCUAACUCCGUGCCAGCAGCCGCGGUAAGACGGAGGGUGCAAGCGUUGUUCGGAUUGACUGGGCGUAAAGGGCGUGUAGGCGGUUGGUCAAGUCGGGUGUGAAAGCCUGGGGCUCAGCUCCAGAAGUGCAUCCGAUACUAGCCAGCUAGAGCGCGAUAGAGGAGGGUGGAAUUCCUGGUGUAGCGGUGAAAUGCGUAGAUAUCAGGAGGAACACCGGCGGCGAAGGCGGCCCUCUGGAUCGUUGCUGACGCUGAGACGCGAAAGCGUGGGGAGCAAACAGGAUUAGAUACCCUGGUAGUCCACGCCUUAAACGAUGGGUACUAGGCGUUCGGGGUGUUGACCCCCUGAGUGCCGCAGUUAACGCAUUAAGUACCCCGCCUGGGGACUACGGCCGCAAGCUAAAACUCAAAGAAUUGACGGGGGCCCGCACAAGCGGUGGAGCAUGCUGUCAAUUCGACGCAACGCGAAGAACCUUACCUGGGCUAGACAACGGUGGACCGCCU